CUACGUAGGGGGCGAGCGUUGUCCGGAAUGAUUGGGCGUAAAGGGCGCGUAGGCGGCCCGGUAAGUCUGGAGUGAAAGUCCUGUUUUUAAGAUGGGAAUUGCUUUGGAUACUGUCGGGCUUGAGUGCAGGAGAGGUAAGUGGAAUUCCCAGUGUAGCGGUGAAAUGCGUAGAGAUUGGGAGGAACACCAGUGGCGAAGGCGACUUACUGGACUGUAACUGACGCUGAGGCGCGAAAGUGUGGGGAGCAAACAGGAUUAGAUACCCUGGUAGUCCACACUGUAAACGAUGAAUGCUAGGUGUAGGGGGUAUCGACCCCUUCUGUGCCGCAGUCAACACAAUAAGCAUUCCGCCUGGGGAGUACGGCCGCAAGGUUGAAACUCAAAGGAAUUGACGGGG
rnacentral:rRNA from 1 species